rnacentral:rRNA from 1 species
CACGCCGUAAACGAUGAGUACUAGGUGUAGGAGGUAUCGACCCCUUCUGUGCCGCAGUAAACACAAUAAGUACUCCGCCUGGGAAGUACGAUCGCAAGAUUAAAACUCAAAGGAAUUGACGGGGGCCCGCACAAGCGGCGGAGCAUGCGGAUUAAUUCGAUGCAACGCGAAGAACCUUACCAAGGCUUGACAUAUAGAGGAAACGGCCAGAGAUGGUCGCCCCGCAAGGUCUCUAUACAGGUGG